rnacentral:rRNA from 1 species
AUGGCCAAGCAUGCUAUAGACUACAACGUGUUUGGUGGGCCUCAACACUUUGGAAAGUGGAUGGACGUGCACUCAGCUCUGUCUUGUCCUGCUGAGGCGAGGGCACCUGUUGAGCAACUAAUUGGGCAGUUUGCAUCCAGAAUGACCAGCUUGCUAGGGAAGUUGGUUGAGGGUUGGACGUCCCUUAAUGGCUCUGACAGCGACGCGGUUGCGAGCUCCCAGGAGCUUCCUGACACGCAAGACGAACUAGAUGGAGAUGCUGGUCUCGACAAGGACGAUGAUGAUGACAUGGAGAACGUGCAACAUGAAACCGACGAGGAUGAACAUGUUGAAGUUCGUGCAGGUGGUAAGAAGGACUAG